ACCGCGUGGCUUCCUUCAGUUGCAGCUGCCCUCCUGGCAAGACUGGUUUGCUGUGUAAUAUUGAUGAUGCCUGCACCAAUAACCCAUGUAAGAUGGGAGCUCAGAGUUACACAAACCCCCUUUUAUAAAGAAUAUCUCUUUGGAUUUGAAACUUUAAUCUUUGCAACUUUAUAGAUCUUCUUUUUUGCACCAAGAGCUUGUAA